rnacentral:rRNA from 1 species
GUGCCAGCCGCCGCGGUAAGACAGAGGGUGCAAACGUUGCUCGGAAUUACUGGGCGUAAAGCGCGUGUAGGCGGAUUGGUGUGUCGGAUGUGAAAUCCCCAGGCUCAACCUGGGAACUGCACCCGAAACUACCAGUCUUGAGUGGUGGAGAGGGAAGUGGAAUUCCUGGUGUAGAGGUGAAAUUCGUAGAUAUCAGGAGGAACACCAGUGGCGAAGGCGGCUUCCUGGACACCAACUGACGCUGAGACGCGAAAGCGUGGGGAGCAAACAGGAUUAGAAACCCCUGUAGUCC